GGGUUGUGAGGUUAAGCGACUAAGCGUACACGGUGGAUGCCCUGGCAGUCAGAGGCGAUGAAGGACGUGCUAAUCUGCGAUAAGCGCCGGUAAGGUGAUAUGAACCGUUAUAACCGGCGAUUUCCGAAUGGGGAAACCCAGUGUGACUCGUCACACUAUCAUUAACUGAAUCCAUAGGUUAAUGAGGCGAACCGGGGGAACUGAAACAUCUAAGUACCCCGAGGAAAAGAAAUCAACCGAGAUUCCCCCAGUAGCGGCGAGCGAACGGGGAGGAGCCCAGAGCCUGAAUCAGCAUGUGUGUUAGUGGAAGCGUCUGGAAAGGCGCGCGAUACAGGGUGACAGCCCCGUACACAAAAGCGCAUGUGCUGUGAGCUCGAUGAGUAGGGCGGGACACGUGGUAUCCUGUCUGAAUAUGGGGGGACCAUCCUCCAAGGCUAAAUACUCCUGACUGACCGAUAGUGAACCAGUACCGUGAGGGAAAGGCGAAAAGAACCCCGGCGAGGGGAGUGAAAAAGAACCUGAAACCGUGUACGUACAAGCAGUGGGAGCACCCUUUGGGGUGUGACUGCGUACCUUUUGUAUAAUGGGUCAGCGACUUAUAUUCUGUAGCAAGGUUAACCGUAUAGGGGAGCCGGAGGGAAACCGAGUCUUAACCGGGCGUUAAGUUGCAGGGUAUAGACCCGAAACCCGGUGAUCUAGCCAUGGGCAGGUUGAAGGUUGGGUAACACUAACUGGAGGACCGAACCGACUAAUGUUGAAAAAUUAGCGGAUGACCUGUGGCUGGGGGUGAAAGGCCAAUCAAACCGGGAGAUAGCUGGUUCUCCCCGAAAGCUAUUUAGGUAGC
rnacentral:rRNA from 1 species